rnacentral:rRNA from 1 species
UACGUAGGGUGCGAGCGUUGUCCGGAAUUAUUGGGCGUAAAGGGCUCGUAGGCGGUUUGUCGCGUCGGGAGUGAAAACACACAGCUUAACUGUGUGCUGGCUUCCGAUACGGGCAGACUAGAGGUAUGCAGGGGAGAACGGAAUUCCUGGUGUAGCGGUGAAAUGCGCAGAUAUCAGGAGGAACACCGGUGGCGAAAGCGGCUCUCUGGAACGGUACUGACGCUGAGACGCGAAAGCGUGGGGAGCGAACAGG